GGCAUGGAUUAGGCAUGCAAGUCGAGCGAUCCCGUAAGGGAUAGCGGCAAAAGGGUGAGUAACACGUAAGUAAUUUUCCUUUAAGUCGGGGAUAGCACCGUGAAAAUGGUGGUAAUACCCGAUGUUAUCGGUAUUUCGCAUGAAAUUCCGAUCAAAGACGGGGAUCCUUCGGGACCUGUCGCUUAGAGAUGAGCUUGCGUACCAUCAGCUAGUUGGUAGGGUAACGGCCUACCAAGGCUAAGACGGUUAACUGGUCUGAGAGGACGACCAGCCACAUUGGGACUGAGACACUGCCCAGACUCCUACGGGAGGCUGCAGUCGAGAAUAUUUAGCAAUGGACGAAAGUCUGACUAUGCGACGCCGCGUGCAGGAUGAAGGUCUUCGGAUUGUAAACUGCUUUUGUUAGGGGAGAAACCUGUAUCAUUAAUAGUGCUACAGCUGACGGUACCUGACGAAUAAGCCACGGCAAACCCCGUGCCAGCAGCCGCGGUAAUACGGGGGUGGCAAGCGUUACUCGGAAUUAUUGGGUGUAAAGGGCAGGUAGGUGGCUCUGUAAGUGAGGGGUGAAAUCCUGCGGUUUAAUCGCAGAACAGCCUUUCAAACUGCAGAGCUUGAGAGUGAUAGAGGAAGAUGGAAUUCCUGGUGUAAGGGUGAAAUCUGUAGAUAUCAGGAAGGACACCAACGGCGAAGGCAAUCUUCUGGGUCACUUCUGACACUGAGCUGCGAAAGCUAGGGGAGCAAACAGAAUUAGAUACUCUGGUAGUCCUAGCCGUAAACGAUGAAUACUAGGUGUUGGUCCUUUCGGGGAUCAGUGCCGAAGCUAACGCAUUAAGUAUUCCACCUGGGGACUACGGUCGCAAGG
rnacentral:rRNA from 1 species